UCCCUCUGCUUCUAUAUAACUUACUUUUCCCUUCUUCUCACUCACUAACAAUCGUCUCCUUCCUUCGCCUCAUCUCCACUCUAUGAUUGUAGGCUUUGGUUCUAUAACAGGGUGACUGUCCUUCAAUGGAAGAAUUCUUGAAGCUUUUUAUAUAAGUUGAUUGGCCGAGGAUUAGGAAUCACUGAUUACAAUGGCAAACUAGGCUUGCAUGUGCAAAAUGAAAAUCAUUAGAACCAAAGCCACUGGAUUGCCAUGAGGCCUUGAAAUAGAAGUAAGGUGAUGCUCCUUGGUACAGCAGCAACAACCUCAGCAACCAGCAAUCUUUAAUCUUUAACUGAAGAGGGUAAAAGAACAGAAAGUAAAACUAAAAAAAAUGGGAAAUGUAGUGAUCUCAUAAAAGAAAAGUGGAGAGAAAUUAUAGUAGCAAAAGUAAUGCAGUUGCCAGAUGAUACAGCAGCAACAACCUCAGGGUUAAGCCUCUUGUCAUUGAUGAAAGUCCCAUUGGUGCUAUCUAGAUCUAUGACCAACAACCUGUCUUCUUGGUUUUUGAUGUGAGCAUGUUGAGCAGAUUGCUUGCAUUUCAGAAAACAACUAAAUGGAGUUGGAUUAGGGGAAAAUUAGACCUGUAGCAACCAGGAUUACAAUGAGGCCCAAAGGUCUUUGAUCUCUUUGGCUGUAAGUGAAUAACCAAAAAGAACCGAAAACAGAAAGGAGAUUAACAUCAAUACUUUCCAGCCAUUCGCCAAACUGCUGUUCUUCAACUCUUUACAACCCAAAGUACUUUCAUCAGUGCUUGAGGAUUCUAAAAAAUUCAAGAUUCAGUUGUUAACCAUUUAAAAAAACUGUAAAUAAAGAUUUGAGAGCAUAGGUUUAGAUCAUAGUCAUGAUUUAGAUUUCAAAUGCAGAUUACAUGAUUUAGAUUUCAAAUGCAAAUUACAUCUUCUUUUCUAUGUUUGUGAAGUUUAGAUCAAAGUAACAACUAAUUAGCUUAAAUAAAAAUUGUUUUCAUUCAUUUCUUUAGCUCCGUCAAUUUCUUUGGUCAUGUCAUUCAAAGGUUUAGAUUGAAUCUAAUUAUGAACAUAAAUGACUGCCUCCCUCCAACACUUGUCCUUCGGUGUUAGAGGUUGAGUCAAACAUAGUUGAUAUAGGAAUUCUAUAUAUGGCUCUAGCUACUACUUGUCUAUAAUGAUCUUAAAUUGAGAGGAAUUCACCUUCCAUCAAUUUAAAAGUCUAAAUAUUCAUCUUCUAUACGAGCCUCGAGCCUCAUCUAGAUAACGAGUCGUGUGUUGAAAUUUAUGUCCUACAAUUCGUAAUUUGUAAUUAUAUUCUAUUAAAUAAAAUUUAUUAUUUAGAAAUUGAAUUCUAUAAUCUUAAAUCCAAUAAACUAAGUUCCAAGGUUAUUUUUGAGUAAACUUGAACUUUAGGUAGAGACUACAUAAAUGUGGAUCAAGUUCUUAUAUAGUUUAAAUAGUUUAUCGUAUAUGAAUUAAGGUUAGAACCUUUAUUAAGAGAAAUUAUGGAUGCAACCCAUUUUGUAGCUAGUAUAAACAAGAUGAUACCAAAUCGUUCAUGAAAGUGGAGACAUUUAUGUAAACUCCUAUGUAAAGUGUUAUAACGUUGUUUAAUUUUUACGUUAUAACGUUGUUUAAUUUUCAAAAUUGACUAUCUCAAUUAUUGAUGACCUAUGUAACUCAAUCUUAAUUUUGAGCUAAUUAUGAACUUCUGUUCAGAUGAGAUUAAGAGUUCACACAAGAUUUUCUUUAGAUAAGUGAUGGGUGAUGAAAACUCUUUAUUCUGACCAAAUAUGCUUUCCAUUUCAGGAGCAAAACUGGAUGAAUAUUUGGUGAUAUAGGGUGAAGAGAGAAUUUACUCCUGGAGCAAAACUGGAUGAAUAUUUGGUGAUAUAGGGUGAAGAGAGAAUUUACUUGGAUAGGUUGUUCCCUUAUGCACUAUAUUAAGGUCUUGAACAAGGGGCCCCACCCUCUCAUUGGCUUGAGAGAGAUUUGGUUUAUAGGUUGGACCUUAAACCAAUUGUUCAAUAGUAAAUCAGUUAAGGAGUAAGAUAUAGGUUGGACCUUAAACCAAUUGUUCAAUAGUAAAUUAGUGAAACUUAAGGAGUAAGAUGCAGUAUUAGGGGUAAAACGGUACUUUGACCCAAUCAAGGUUACGAACAAUUUGUGAAAGGAUGAGAGUGCAACUAUAUGACUUUAGUGGAAUGACCAAUUAGUUAACAAAUGUUUGAUUAACUCGGUCUAAAAGAGUUUAGUCAGUUAAUUUUGAAUUGUUGAAGCCCAUGAUCUAUAGAUUUAUUAGGUUCCUCGGCUAGCUCAUAUGGAUAAAUUUAGAACAAUAUGAUAAAAUGAGUUGAAUUGUUCAAUUUAGGUGACGAGAGAGAAAUCGAUAAGUAUAUGUGAUAUAACCAUCGAUUAUCGAAUUAGAAAUAAAGCUUAUAUUUGAAUGAGAUUUAAAUAUUAAAGAUAUGAAUACAGAUUUAUACUAGAAAGCUAAAAAGCGAUGGAAAUAGUCAAAGUUGUAAAAAGUCAAAAUGUUGAAUUUUGACUUUGAAAAGUUAAGCUUUGACCGAAAAUAGAUUCAAAUAUGAUUUGAAUUUUGAAAAAAUAAAUGUGGAUUCAUGAUCGGGAGAUCAAAAUUAGUCAUUGGACAAAAUAUUAAAAAGUGAAAUGUUGAUUUUAAGUUUGAAAAGUGACUUUUGACCAAAUAACUAUUUUGCCAUUUGGCCAAAGUUUGUGGAAAAAUUCAACAUUUUGUUGGAUCCCACUAAUUCUAGUGGACUAGGUGUUGUCUUUUGACGAAGAUAAAAUGUUCACUAGAAAAAGUGGGCUUUGAGUUAUUGGGCUUCAGUAUCUGAUGGACAUGUAAUUCUCACAUGGAAAUUUCUUAUAAAUAGAGCCUUUGAACUCA